CGCGCAUAAGGUUGGCCAGGGAACUUUACUGGAGGACGGAGAGACUCCACGUCAUCAAACAGCGUGGAUUGGCGGAAGAGAGGGAACAGCUGGGUCCGGGUCAGGACGAGGCGUUUCCACGCCGUUUCCCUCCCUCGAUUGGUCCGCCGAUCCGUCUUCAUGUUGAAGUUACGAGAAUGCCCCGCUUUUGAAACCGAGGGACGGACGUGUGUGGAAGUCGGAAUCCGCACCCACGCUGUGACCCGCCGGAGACCCGAGGGCCGGAUGGCCGCCUUGAUGUCAUCCUGACCAUCCGAUGACUGGACUCUCCGUGGACCCCGGCGGUAGAUGGUGGGCCCUGCGCCUCGCUAUGAUCGCCGGCCAUGUCUCGUGCCGGUAGAUACUGCUGUAACACGUGCUCGGCUAACCAGCACGUGGUGAAGAAUCCGAUGUCCAUUGCAGCACGAAGAUACAAUGAGAUACCAUGAUUUGAGCUUUAUAUUUUAGGGGGAAAAUGUGUCAACCAGUGGACUUUUUGGCCCGAGGGUGGGUUUAGUUUACAGUGGGCGGGCCAUCCACGAGGGGCAUGGCGACAAAGGAAAUGUCUUCCAUCCAAUAACAUAGAGGGUAGUUCUAAAUACACCCCCCCU